rnacentral:rRNA from 1 species
UGGGGAAUAUUGGACAAUGGGGGGAACCCUGAUCCAGCCAUGCCGCGUGUGUGAAUAAGGCCUUAUGGUUGUAAAGCACUUUAAGCGAGGAGGAGGGUACUGGUAUUAAUACUACCAGGUACUGGACGUUACUCGCAGAAUAAGCACCGGCUAACUCUGUGCCAGCAGCCGCGGUAAUACAGAGGGUGCGAGCGUUAAUCGGAUUUACUGGGCGUAAAGCGUGCGUAGGCGGCUAAUUGAGUCGGAUGUGAAAUCCCCGAGCUUAACAUGGGAAUUGCAUUCGAUACUGGUUAGCUAGAGUGUGGGAGAGGAUGGUAGAAUUCCAGGUGUAGCGGUGAAAUGCGUAGAGAUCUGGAGGAAUACCGAUGGCGAAGGCAGCCAUCUGGCCUAACACUGACGCUGAGGUACGAAAGCAUGGGGAGCAAACAGG